rnacentral:rRNA from 1 species
AGAGUUGAUUAUGGCUCAGGAUGAACGCUAGCUACAGGCUUAACACGAUGCAAGUCGAGGGGCAGCAUAACGAAAGCUUGCUUUGUGAUGGCGACCGGCGCACGGGUGAGUAACGCGUAUCCAACCUUCCCGCGAGUAGGGAACAGCCCGGCGAAAGUCGGAUUAAUGCCCUAUGUUCUCCGAUGACGGCAUCAGAGUUGGAGUAAAGAUUUAUCGCUUGCGGAUGGGGAUGCGUCUGAUUAGCUUGUUGGCGGGGUAACGGCCCACCAAGGCGACGAUCAGUAGGGGUUCUGAGAGGAAGGUCCCCCACAUUGGAACUGAGACACGGUCCAAACUCCUACGGGAGGCAGCAGUGAGGAAUAUUGGUCAAUGGGCGGAAGCCUGAACCAGACCCAAGUAGCGUGAGGGAUGACUGCCCUAUGGGUUGUAAACCUCUUUUGUUCGGGAAUAAAGUUCGGGACGUGUCCCGUUUUGUAUGUACCGUUCGAAUAAGGACCGGCUAAUUCCGUGCCAGCAGCUGC